rnacentral:lncRNA from 1 species
GCGCCGGUACAUGGCUCCUCUGCGGGCGGGUGCACGGCCGGCUCCCGGAGGCACCUCGCCGAGCCAGCAGUCCGCUAAAUAAACAUCGGAGGCCCAGGGUGCGCAGCUGGGACGUUCCAGAGCGUGUCAGCUGUCUCUCCACGCGGCGCCCAGCCUCGGGGAGAACAAAAGAGCGGCGGGCGCCGCUUUUGUGCGCUGGCUUAGCGGCCCAUACAGCUCUUAGGGUUGGAAGGUUACCCAGCGCCAUGAGGGUUUUGUUCCGGGAUUGUCGAGCCCGUUGCUUUUGAGUAAAUGGAGAGUCAGGAGGACAAAAGAAGCAUGCCUUUCUUCUGACUUGCUUCCACUGUGGAAUUGCGAAGGAAGCCCAAGGGGACUUGUUAACCUUGGUCUAGCUGGAGAGCCCAAGGACCCCUGACUUUGUCUCUUCUCUCUCUUUCUGUCAAGCUCUCAAUUCUAGAGCUUUUUAACAAUACCUUUUUCUUUUCUGAUUACUUAAGCAGAUAUUUUUCGUAAUUACACCAUGGCAUUAAAGACCCCUCUUUAUGUUAGUGGUUCUUAACUUUGGAUGCAAUAUCAAAUGGCACUUCUCAAUAAAUUGUGAGGUGUGUUGCAAGUUCUUACUGAUACUUGUACGUGUUUGUAAGGAAUCUCUUCUUUGCACAGUAACUCAGAAAACCUUGCACAGUUGUUACUAUUAAUACUAUCCUGAGGCUCAUGGAUUCUGACAGCCUUUCUGGAGUAGGAGAUGCAAGCCCAGCUCCAUCAGGACAUUGGCAUAAUAUAUUCUUCCAACCAAAAAAAAAAUUCUUCCAGCCUAAAGAUUUGAUAAAUUGGCCAACUCUAAAUUAGAUAUAUAAAGGAAUUUGUGUCACUGUGUUUCAUUUUAAUUUAUAUUAUGGAAAUAAUAAAGCUAGGCUUUGACAAAUUUAAAAGUGAAUUACGGGUGUUGAAAGAAAUGAAUAGCAUUUGAUGAGACUGUUCCUAGAUAGAAAUAUUUUGUCCCAUCUCCAAUUUAAAAAAUCAUUAUCAUAAGCCUGUUUUCAUAAAAAGAUUAGCAGUACCAUAUAAUU